rnacentral:rRNA from 1 species
UACGGAGGGGGCUAGCGUUGUUCGGAAUUACUGGGCGUAAAGCGCACGUAGGCGGCUUUGCAAGUUAGAGGUGAAAGCCCGGGGCUCAACUCCGGAAUUGCCUUUAAAACUGCAUCGCUAGAAUUGUGGAGAGGUAAGUGGAAUUCCGAGUGUAGAGGUGAAAUUCGUAGAUAUUCGGAAGAACACCAGUGGCGAAGGCGACUUACUGGACACAUAUUGACGCUGAGGUGCGAAAGCGUGGGGAGCAACCAGG